AUUGAACGCUGGCGGAAUGCUUUACACAUGCAAGUCGAACGGUAGAGGGGGCAACCCCUUGAGAGUGGCGCACGGGUGCGUAAUAUAUCGGAACGUGCCCAGUCGUGGGGGAUAACGUAGCGAAAGUUACGCUAAUACCGCAUACGAUCUAAGGAUGAAAGCGGGGGAUCGCAAGACCUCGCGCGACUGGAGCGGCCGAUAUCAGAUUAGGUAGUUGGUAGGGUAAAGGCCUACCAAGCCAACGAUCUGUAGCUGGUCUGAGAGGACGACCAGCCACACUGGAACUGAGACACGGUCCAGACUCCUACGGGAGGCAGCAGUGGGGAAUUUUGGACAAUGGGCGAAAGCCUGAUCCAGCCAUUCCGCGUGCAGGAUGAAGGCCCUCGGGUUGUAAACUGCUUUUGUACAGAACGAAAAGGUUUCUAUUAAUACUAGGAGCUCAUGACGGUACUGUAAGAAUAAGCACCGGCUAACUACGUG
rnacentral:rRNA from 1 species